rnacentral:rRNA from 1 species
UACGUAGGGGGCUAGCGUUGUCCGGAUUUAUUGGGCGUAAAGAGCGUGUAGGCGGCCAGGUAGGUCUGCUGUGAAAACUCGAGGCUCAACCUCGAGACGUCGGCGGAAACCAUCUGGCUAGAGUCCGGAAGAGGAGAGUGGAAUUCCUGGUUUAGCGGUGAAAUGCGCAGAUAUCAGGAGGAACACCGGUGGCGAAGGCGGCUUUCUGGACAGAUACCGACGCUGAGGCACGAAAGCUAGGGGAGCAAACAGG